rfam:TPA: Bos taurus chromosome 6, whole genome shotgun sequence.
UCCCUGGUGGCUCAGACGGUAAAGCGUCUGCCUAGAAUGCGGAAGACCCAGGUUCAAUCCCUGGGUGUGGAA